rnacentral:rRNA from 1 species
CAGCAGCCACGGUAAUACAGAGGGUGCGAGCGUUAAUCGGAUUUACUGGGCGUAAAGCGUGCGUAGGCGGCUAAUUGAGUCGGAUGUGAAAUCCCUGAGCUUAACUUGGGAAUUGCAUUCGAUACUGGUUAGCUAGAGUGUGGGAGAGGAUGGUAGAAUUCCAGGUGUAGCGGUGAAAUGCGUAGAGAUCUGGAGGAAUACCGAUGGCGAAGGCAGCCAUCUGGCCUAACACUGACGCUGAGGUACGAAAGCAUGGGGAGCAAACAGGAUUAGAUACCCCUGUAGUCCCUGUCUCUUAUAC